GCGGGAUUAGUUUAGUGGCAAAACAUGUGCUUCCCAAGCACAGGACGCGAGUUCGAUUCUCGCAUCCCGCACCA
rnacentral:tRNA from 1 species